rnacentral:piRNA from 1 species
UGGUUUCUUUCACAUGCUAAUGCUGAUUA